rnacentral:rRNA from 1 species
AUUGAACGCUGGCGGCAGGCUUAACACAUGCAAGUCGAGCGGGGAAAGGUAGCUUGCUACCUGACCUAGCGGCGGACGGGUGAGUAGUGCUUAGGAAUCUGCCUAUUAGUGGGGGACAACAUCUCGAAAGGGAUGCUAAUACCGCAUACGUCCUACGGGAGAAAGCAGGGGACCUUCGGGCCUUGCGCUAAUAGAUGAGCCUAAGUCGGAUUAGCUAGUUGGUGGGGUAAAGGCCUACCAAGGCGACGAUCUGUAGCGGGUCUGAGAGGAUGAUCCGCCACACUGGGACUGAGACACGGCCCAGACUCCUACGGGAGGCAGCAGUGGGGAAUAUUGGACAAUGGGGGGAACCCUGAUCCAGCCAUGCCGCGUGUGUGAAGAAGGCCUUUUGGUUGUAAAGCACUUUAAGCGAGGAGGAGGCUACCGAGAUUAAUACUCUUGGAUAGUGGACGUUACUCGCAGAAUAAGCACCGGCUAACUCUGUG